rnacentral:rRNA from 1 species
CAUGAGUUCGAGGUGGACGAGGAUGGUGAGGGCAUUAUCGAUGCACCGAAAGGAAGAGGAGGCAACUACACUAAUGAUGAAGACGUCUUGCUAUGCAAUACUUGGUUGCAAGUGUCAAGGGAUCCAUCCGUUGGAGGUGAUCAAAGUAGAGAUGCAUAUUGGAGCCGAAUGAAGGAGCACUUUGAUCUACACAACAAGAGUGGAAUUGACCACUCGGCACGAUCUCUUCGCUCCCGGUGGUCGACAAUCAACCGAGAUUGUCAAAAGUGGGCGGCCGCACAAAAGGCGGUUGACAAG